rnacentral:rRNA from 1 species
AUGGAUGGAAUCAUGAAUAGUCAUUGUUUUUCUAUACUAAUUAAAACUUGCUAUCUAUGGAGCAAUAUGGAUAAAAGAAGUAAGUAUUUAUCCGGGAAGCCUCCGCGAAGAUCCAAUUUAUUUAAACCCAUAUUAAAAUUCUAUCAUAUGAAUUAAACAUCGUUUGAAAAAGGCGACUAA